UUCGGCGCGAAUGCAAGUCAGGUAAAAUUUACUGCUGCACUUGAACGAUAAAGUGUAGUAAUAAAUAAUUAUAAACACAAGUGGUUGUUGGAGAGUAAAUGGAGAAAAUUAAGCUUUUUUAGGCUGACUUUUAUAUAUUUUCGGAUUUCACAUUUACAUAAAGCGUACUAAGUGUUCCGUUUAAAGUUGAUGAAGUAGAUAAUAUUUUUGAGAUAAAAUAUUACACAGAAGUAAUUUUGUGCUUUCAAAAGUUAAGUGAUCGCUGUGAACCUUUGUGUUAUUUGAAUUUUUAAUCGUUGCUGUUGAAUACGUGAAAGUGCAUUUCCUCAACCUGAAGAAUAUUCUAACUUCUUUCGUGGCAUUGGAUCAAAGGUCAGCUUUGACAGUGGAUUCCUCUUGCCCCAAAAG